GACGAACGCUGGCGGCGUGCUUAACACAUGCAAGUCGAACGGAAAGGCCCUGCUUUUGUGGGGUGCUCGAGUGGCGAACGGGUGAGUAACACGUGAGUAACCUGCCCUUGACUUUGGGAUAACUUCAUGAAACUGGGGCUAAUACCGGAUGGGAGCUCCUGCAGCAUGGUUUGGGUUGGAAAGUUUCGGCGGUUGGGGAUGGACUCGCGGCCUAGCAGCUUGUUGGUGGGGUAGUGGCUUACCAAGGCUUGGACGGGUAGCUGGCCUGAGGGGGUGACCGGCCACAUUGGGAUUGAGAUACGAGCCAGACGGCUACGGGAGGCAGCAGUGGGGGAUAGUGCACAAUGGGCGGAAGCCGUAUGCAGCAUCGCCGCGUGCGGGAUGACGGCCUUCGGGUUGGAAAGCGCUUUCGCCUGGGAAGAAGAGUGAGUGACGGUAAUGAGUAAAGAAGGAACGGCUAACUACGUG
rnacentral:rRNA from 1 species